rnacentral:rRNA from 1 species
GAUGAACGCUGGCGGCGUGCCUAAUACAUGCAAGUCGAGCGAACGGACGAGAAGCUUGCUUCUCUGAUGUUAGCGGCGGACGGGUGAGUAACACGUGGAUAACCUACCUAUAAGACUGGGAUAACUUCGGGAAACCGGAGCUAAUACCGGAUAAUAUUUUGAACCGCAUGGUUCAAAAGUGAAAGACGGUCUUGCUGUCACUUAUAGAUGGAUCCGCGCUGCAUUAGCUAGUUGGUAAGGUAACGGCUUACCAAGGCAACGAUGCAUAGCCGACCUGAGAGGGGGAUCGGCCACACUGGAACUGGAACACGGGCCAGACUCCUACGGGGAGCAGCAGUAGGGAAUCUUCCGCAAUGGGCGAAAGCCUGACGGAGCAACGCCGCGUGAGUGAUGAAGGUCUUCGGAUCGUAAAACUCUGUUAUUAGGGAAGAACAUAUGUGUAAGUAACUGUGCACAUCUUGACGGUACCUAAUCAGAAAGCCACGGCUAACUACGUG